rnacentral:lncRNA from 1 species
UUUGAGCCUAUUUAUCCCAUUUUUAAUUUAUAAGUCAUUACAAACCUAAAGUGAAAACAAUGAUAUCACCCUAUUUAAAGGGAUGAAAGGGUCUUGUUUGGAGUUGUGUGUGAUUGAAUUAGCAUAACUGUGGUAUUUCAAAAGUUAACAGAAAAGAAAAAAAAUAGAAAAAGAAAAGAAAAGAAAGAAGCAAGAAAAUUUAUGUUUUUAUCUUACUCCUUCUGGAAAAAAAAAGAAAAAAAGAAAAAAGAAAAGAGAAAAAAAAAAGCAAAGAGAAGAGGACAUGGAUGCAAAGAAGUUAAAGUAAAUAAAAUAUUGUUUAGUUCAACUCUCAUAGCCCCUUUCAAUUAUCUUUUAUCCCUUAAAUUUUAGCCUAAUACCCCUUAGAAUUUAUCUCACCCUUAUCUUGACCACGUCACAACCCAAAU